UGUUGUAAGCAGUUCAGAGUGGAAGCAGGUAUUUAUAGUUGGGGCAACACCUGAAUGUAAGCCAUAUAUCUUGUAACUGCUAACUGCAUCAUGUGGCUGAAAAUUGGGGUAUGAUCUCUGGGUUUGAUGUUGUUAGGUUCUUUACAUCACUUGCUCUUGUUGGUUCUCUGGAGUGAAAGUGACCGGUCCAAUUGUCCAAACUCAUGUGAGGCAAGUGCCUGCAUGCCUAAUACAUAUUCUUUAACAUGCCUCUUCAGAAAUUCCCCCAACAUCUAUAGUGGAGGUGUAAUUUGUUGGGUUGUAACUUGUAAGAUGAACCCAAAACUCUGCUUAUCCAGAAUGCUGCAACUCGUUCUUUCUUCAGGAGAAUUGCUACGUUUUCUGGAUAUCUGGAACCUCCGAGUAGACAUUAUCAUGCUAGGCCUCAACUUCUGGUACCCUAUCAUCCAGAAGAACCAGAAAGAAUCAGCAGGUAGUCAUUUGCUGGAGUCGAUUAUCCUAUCGGUACGAAGCUGGAUCAUUCCUGAUGCUCAAUCUUAAACUGACAACAAGGAGAUAAUAAUGGGGUUCUAGUCUUCCAGGGAAACUUAUUCAAAGCACCAAGAAAAAAGUGCAGACAAAAAUUAGAACGCCAAUCGCGCCAUCAAUCUCUCCCCUUUUCUUCUUUUUUGCAUGUGUCAUAAUUUUAAAUCAUAACCAACAAGCAAGUAAAGAAUAAUAUAGAGGGAAGAGACUAUGAUCUGGGUAAGCAGUUCCUUCGCUUUUGGAUACACCAUGAGCUUCAUGACUUUACUCCAAGGAUGAUGAUCAGCUGACAACUGGGAAGAUAAAGUGUGUACCCUAAAUGAACAUUCUAUUAGAUCUUCCAUUGAUACUCUUACUUAUUAUAUAAUGAAAAUGACACACUAGUAAUGUUGUUAACAGAUUCUCAGAUAUAGUCAUGGCAUGUUAGUUGUUAUAUGCAUUCGGGUCAAAUCUCUCUGUAUCAUUCUAAUUUCAUCGGAUGUCUCUAAAGGAACUCGGGUUAAAC